rnacentral:rRNA from 1 species
CCUACGGGAGGCAGCAGUGAGGAAUAUUGGUCAAUGGGCGGAAGCCUGAACCAGCCACGUAGCGUGCAGGAUGAAGGCCCUACGGGUUGUAAACUGCUUUUCUACGGGAAUAAGGCGACUUACGUUUAGGGCUUUGCAUGUACAGUAUGAAUCCAGACCGGCUAAUUUCGUUCCAGGAGCCGAGGUAAUACGGAAGGUCCGGGCGUUAUCCGGAUUUAUUGGGUGUAAAGGGAGCGUAGGCCGGAUGUCAACCGUGCUGUGAAAUGUCCGGGCUCAACCCGGGCCUUGCAGCGCGACCUGGCGUGCUUGAGUCCACAGAAGGCAGGCGGAAUUCGACGUGUAGCGGUGAAAUGCUUAGAUAUGACGAAGAACCCCGAUUGCGAAGGCAGCUUGCUGCAGCGGAACUGACGCUGAUGCUCGAAAGCACGGGUAUCGAACAGGAUUAGAUACCCGGGUAGUC